rnacentral:rRNA from 1 species
CCUACGGGGGGCAGCAGUGGGGAAUAUUGCACAAUGGGCGCAAGCCUGAUGCAGCGACGCCGCGUGAGCGAUGAAGGCCUUCGGGUCGUAAAGCUCUGUCCUAAGGGAAGAAUAAUGACGGUACCUUAGGAGGAAGCCCCGGCUAACUACGUGCCAGCAGCCGCGGUAAUACGUAGGGGGCGAGCGUUAUCCGGAAUCACUGGGCGUAAAGGGUGAGUAGGCUGCCCUGCAAGUCAGGAGUUAAAUCCAUCGGCUCAACCGAGGUCACCUCUUUAAACUUUAGGGCUUGAGUUCAGGGGAGUCUCGCGGAACUCCUACUUUUGCCUUUAAAUGCCUACAUAUUAGGCGCAUCUCCAGUGGCGAUUGCCGCUCUCUUUACUGCCACUUACUCUGCGGCCCGAAAUCUUCUGGUCCUCUCCGGAUUAGAUACCCGUUUAUUC